GUAGGUCAACCUGCGGAAGGAUCGUUACCGAGGUUUUUCUUCCUGGCGCAAGCUGGGAGAUACCCGACCUAUUGUCAUUUGCACGUCGAGGAGGAACGGUGGUGGGUGGCGUGUGUGGCUUGGGAUGGAUCGACCCGAGAGGGAGGAUCCGGAACGGCCCGCGCUGCCGCUGGCGCCUGGACGAACCUUAACUUCGGCGGAAGAGGUAGACUGGAUCUGCCCGCCGCCGGCCGUAACCUAUUUAACUCUGCAACGAGAAUCUGAAGCCUGAUAACACAAAACAAAAUGAAAAGCAAAACUUUCAACAACGGAUCUCUUGGCUCUG
rnacentral:misc_RNA from 1 species